rnacentral:rRNA from 1 species
GACGAACGCUGGCGGCGCGCUUAACACAUGCAAGUCGAGCGAGAACCAGUCCUUCGGGGCCGGGGAAAGCGGCGAACGGGUGAGUAACACGUGAGUAAUCCACCCUCGGUACCGGGAUAGCCCGGGGAAACCCGGAUUAAUACCGGAGGGCACAUCCACACUUUGGAGCGGCUGGGAAAGGUAGCUUCGGCCUCCGACCGAGGACGAGCCCGCGGCGGAUUAGCUUGUUGGUGGGGUGAUGGCCGAGCAAGGCGACGAUCCGUCGCUGGUUUGAGAGGACGAUCAGCCACACUGGGGCUGAGACACGGCCCAGACUCCUACGGGAGGCAGCAGUGGGGAACCUUGCGCAAUGGGCGAAAGCCUGACGCAGCGACGCCGCGUGCGGGAAGAAGGCCUUCGGGUUGUAAACCGCUUUCAGGAGGGACGAAGCCACUCAGGUUAAUAGCCUAGAGGGUGACGGCACCUCCAGAAGAAGCCCCGGCUAACUACGUGCCAGCCGCCGCGGUAA